rnacentral:piRNA from 1 species
GGAAGUGGAAAGUUGGAAGACAG